GACGAACGCUGGCGGCGUGGAUUAGGCAUGCAAGUCGAACGGUAUCAUCCUUUCGGGGGUGAGAGAGUGGCGAACUGGUGAGUAACACGUAGGUUAUCUACCCUCAAGACGGGGACAACCCAGGGAAACUUGGGCUAAUACCGGAUGUGAGCAACUUUUAGUUGUUUGAAAGGUGGCGUAAGCUGUCGCUUGGGGAUGAGCCUGCGUCCUAUUAGUUAGUUGGUGAGGUAACGGCUCACCUAGGCAAUGAUAGGUAGGCGGCCUUAACGGGUGGUCGCCCACACUGGGAUUGAGAUACGGCCCAGACUCCUACGGGAGGCAGCAGUCGAGAAUAGUCUACAAUGGUCGGAAGACUGAUAGUGCGACGCCGCGUGAACGAUGAAUCCCUUCGGGGUGUAAAGUUCUUUUAUAUGUGAGCAGUGCUUCUUAUAUUAACAGUAUGGGGAAGAGAUAUUAGCAUAUGAAUAAGCAACGGCUAACUCCGUGCCAGCAGCCGCGGUAAAU
rnacentral:rRNA from 1 species